rnacentral:rRNA from 1 species
CGGCAGGCCUAACACAUGCAAGUCGAGGGGUAACGAUGUCUUCGGACAGUCGACGACCGGCGCACGGGUGAGUAUCGCGUUUGUAACCUACCUUUAACUGGAGAAUAGCCCGAAGAAAUUCGGAUUAAUACUCCAUAAUACUAUGAACUGGCAUCUUUUUAUAGUUAAAGCUCCGGCGGUUAAAGAUGGGCAUGCGUGACAUUAGUUAGUUGGUGAGGUAACGGCUCACCAAGACUACGAUGUCUAGGGGGUCUGAGAGGAUGGUCCCCCACACUGGUACUGAGACACGGACCAGACUCCUACGGGAGGCAGCAGUGAGGAAUAUUGGUCAAUGGGCGCAAGCCUGAACCAGCCAUGCCGCGUGAAGGAUGACAGCGCUACGCGUUGUAAACUUCUUUUGUACAGGAAGAAACACUUCUACGUGUAGAAGCUUGACGGUACUGUACGAAUAAGCAUCGGCUAACUCCGUGCCAGCAGCCGCGGUAAUACGGAGGAUGCAAGCGUUAUCCGGAUUUAUUGGGUUUAAAGGGUACGUAGGCGGAAAAUUAAGUCAGUAGUGAAAUCCUGCAGCUUAACUGUAGAACUGUUAUUGAUACUGGUUUUCUUGAAUAUAGUUGAGGUAGGCGGAAUGUGUAAUGUAGCGGUGAAAUGCUUAGAUAUUACACAGAACACCGAUUGCGAAGGCAGCUUACUAAGCUAU